GUCUCUGUGGAGCAAUUGGUUAGCACAUUUGACUGUUAACCAAAAGGUCGGUUGGGUUCAAGCCCAUCCAGGUACU
rfam:Gallus gallus breed Red Jungle fowl, inbred line TCD001 Contig2538.1, whole genome shotgun sequence. [11-NOV-2016]